rnacentral:lncRNA from 1 species
AGUCUGGUGUGUUUGUCUGUUAGCUGUUGUUUGGCCUAUUUUACGGUUUUAAAUGCAGUAUGAGGUCUGAUGUUUUCAUUUCAUAGUUUCGUGUGCAUAUAUUACUGUUUUAUUGAUUAUGGGUUGAAUGACUGAGAACCCGAUGUUGUAUGUUGUCUUGUUUGGCAUAAAUUACUGGUUUGCAUUGUUUGUGUGUGAAUUGAUGAUGCUGACUGAGGAAAAGGGGAAUGAAAGGUUAUGUAAAUUGAUAAUUGUAUAAUGUGGUCAGCCUGACUAGAUAUCCU